AGAGUUUGAUCAUGGCUCAGAUUGAACGCUGGCGGCAUGCCUUACACAUGCAAGUCGAACGGCAGCACGGGUGCUUGCACCUGGUGGCGAGUGGCGAACGGGUGAGUAAUAUAUCGGAACGUACCUUAUUGUGGGGGAUAACGCAGCGAAAGCUGUGCUAAUACCGCAUAAUCCCUAAGGGGGAAAGCGGGGGACCGUAAGGCCUCGCGCAAUUAGAGCGGCCGAUACCUGAUUAGCUAGUUGGUGAGGUAAAGGCUCACCAAGGCAACGAUCAGUAGCUGGUCUGAGAGGACGAUCAGCCACACUGGGACUGAGACACGGCCCAGACUCCUACGGGAGGCAGCAGUGGGGAAUUUUGGACAAUGGGGGCAACCCUGAUCCAGCAAUGCCGCGUGAGUGAAGAAGGCCUUCGGGUUGUAAAGCUCUUUUGUCAGGGAAGAAACAGCAGCUCUAACACAGUUUGCGAAUGACGGUACCUGAAGAAUAAGCACCGGCUAACUACGUGCCAGCAGCCGCGGUAAUACGUAGGGUGCAAGCGUUAAUCGGAAUUACUGGGCGUAAAGCGUGCGCAGGCGGUUAUGUAAGACAGGCGUGAAAUCCCCGGGCUUAACCUGGGAAUUGCGCUUGUGGCUGCAUAGCUAGAGUAUGUCAGAGGGGGGUAGAAUUCCACGUGUAGCAGUGAAAUGCGUAGAGAUGUGGAGGAAUACCAAUGGCGAAGGCAGCCCC
rnacentral:rRNA from 1 species